CAUAUGCUUGUCUCAAAGAUUAAGCCAUGCAUGUCUAAGAAUAAGUCCUAGAAUGACAAAUCUGCGAAUGGCUCAUUAAAUCAGUUAUUGUUUAUUUGGUGUGUGUAAAAAUUGUAAUAAUAUUCUCACGAAUUACUCCUGGAUAACCGUAGUAAUUCUAGAGCUAAUACAUGUUAAAAUAAAGCCUAUGAAGAGGGUCAAACCUCUUCUAAGGUUGCAUUUAUUAGAUUCCAAAACCAAUCAAUUUCUAAGUUCUCACGGACUUAGAUAAAACCCAAUUGAAUGGUGAUUCAUAAUAACUAAGCUAAUCGAAAUUUAAAGAAGUAUUACUUUAUUCACUUAAGGCUAAUACUUUUUCGAUGCUUCAUUCAAAUUUCUGCCCUAUCAGCUUUCGAUGGUAGGAUAUUUGCCUACCAUGGCUAUAACGGGUAACGGGGAAUCAGGGUUCGAUUCCGGAGAGGGAGCUUGAGAAAUGGCUACCACAUCCAAGGAUGGCAGCAGGCGCGCAAAUUACCCAAUCCCAAUACGGGGAGGUAGUGACAAUAAAUAACAAUGUUGGAAUAUUUUAAAAAUUCUAACAAUUGGAAUGAGAGUAAUUUAGACCUCUUCUCGAGGAUCUAUUGGAGGGCAAGUCUGGUGCCAGCAGCCGCGGUAAUUCCAGCUCCAAUAGCGUAUGUUAAAGUUGUUGCAGUUAAGAAGCUCGUAGUCUAAACUGCAAAGUCUUUUAUGGAAAUGGUGUUUUUCUUCUUUAUAAAAUUAUGAUUAGUUCAAGAAGUAUUAAUUUACUCUCUUUGUUCUCUUCUUGUUUAUAAAGUCAAGUUAAAAACAUCCUUUGCUUGUACUUUGGAGAACAAAAUUUUCAAGAACACCCGUUUUUGAAAUUUUUGGAUUCCAAUUGUUUACUUUGAGAAAACUAGAGUGUUCAAAGCAGGCGAAAUUAAAAUUUCUCUCGCAACUGAAUACAUUAGCAUGGGAUAAUAAAAUAGGACAUUUAUGAAGGAGAAAAUCAGAUUAAUUAAUCAAUUUAUGUUUACUCAUAAGUUGUUUAUUAAUCUUUCUCCUUCUUGGUCCUAUUAUGUUUUUGAUUGGUGGUCCAAGGACCAAUGUAAUGAUUAAUAGGAACAGUUGGGGACAUUCAUAUUCCGCGGCUAGAGGUGAAAUUCUUGGAUUCGUGGAAGAUGAACUAGUGCGAAAGCAUUUGUCAAAGAUGUUUUCAUUGAUCAAGAACGAAAGUUAGGGGAGCAAAGACGAUCAGAUACCGUCGUAGUCUUAACUAUAAACGAUGCCGACUAGGGAUCGGUGGGCGUUAAUUUAUAUGACUCCAUCGGCACCUCAUGGGAAACCAAAGUCUUUGGGUUCCGGGGGGAGUAUGGUCGCAAGGCUGAAACUUAAAGGAAUUGACGGAAGGGCACCACCAGGAGGUGGAGUUUGCGGCUUAAUUUGACUCAACACGGGAAAACUCACCAGGCCCAGACAUGGUAAGGAUUGACAGAUUGAGAGCUCUUUCUUGAUUCCAUGAAAGGUGGCGCAUGGCCGUUCUUAGUUGGUGGAGUGAUUUGUCUGGUUAAUUCCGUUAACGAACGAGACCUUGGCCUGCUAACUAGGGGGGAUUAUCGUUUGAAUAAGGUUUUAAAAUUAAGUAUGAAAACAAUUAUUUCAACGCAAGUUGUAAAUAGUUUUUUCUAUUUUCUUUUUACUUAUUCAUAUUUUGCGAUAGUACCUAAGAUUUUUAAAAUCUUUCCAACUCUCUUUUGGUUUUAAGAGAAAGGCUAAGAGUUAACUUGAUCUACUUGUAGUUCUUGUUAUCUUUUUUCAUCCCAAACUUUCUUUUUCUUCCUAAAGGAGAGGAAAUCCUUCUUAGAGGGACUAUCUGCGUUUUUAUAACUAGCAGAUGGAAGCUCGAGGCAAUAACAGGUCUGUGAUGCCCUUAGAUGUCCUGGGCUGCACGCGUACUACACUGACGAAUUCAACAAGCGAUUUAAAUUUAAUAGUUUUCUUUUAGUCAGAGGUACUUGUAUCUUUGGUUAAAUGGGAGAUUAUUAAAAACCUUGGCAGAAAUGUCUGGGUAAUCUCUUUAAAGUUCGUCGUGCUAGGGAUAGAUGAUUGUAAUUAUUCGUCUUCAACGAGGAAAUCCUAGUAAGUGUGA
rnacentral:rRNA from 1 species